UCAAGACCAAUGGGAGAGCGUGGUUUUAACCACCGCCGAAGGCGUAACACCCGUAACCGCUCAGGCACAAAGAACUAUUGGCACAGG
rnacentral:ncRNA from 2 species